rnacentral:rRNA from 1 species
UACGUAGGCAGCGAGCGUUGUUCGGAGUUACUGGGCGUAAAGAGUGCGUAGGCGGUUUUCUAAGUUUGGUGUGAAAUCUCCCGGCUUAACUGGGAGGGUGCGCCGAAAACUGGAAGGCUUGAGUAUGGGAGAGGUAAGCGGAAUUCCUGGUGUAGCGGUGAAAUGCGUAGAUAUCAGGAAGAACACCCGUGGCGAAAGCGGCUCUCUGGAACGGUACUGACGCUGAGACGCGAAAGCGUGGGGAGCGAACAGG